UAACAUCUGAAAGCUCUGAAAAUAAGUGCACGCAUCUUAACACAUAGAUAAUGUUUAAAUGCCAUCCCCCAAAACAGGAAAAAAAAAAAAAAGUAAAAUGAAGUCAAAACUCUGGGUUUUAGCUAUUAAAUUUUCUCAUCUGUCUUUCACUUGUUUCCAGUUAUCUGUGGUCUUUUAACAGCUCAGGCAGCAGCACAGGUAAGCAACAGCAUUGUGCUGGCUUGGUAAGUGCAGACAGUUCGGUAUUAGGAGUAUCAUACAUCUGUUUCAGUGUUUGGCCCUGCUUUCUUUGCUGCGUGAGCUCCAGCUCAUGUAUGUCUGAUAAUCAGGAUUGUACUUAAAAUCUGAAAAUAUAUAUUAUACACGGGCAUGGAUGUAUUGUGAUGCAUCACACAAACCAUAUAUCAUUUACCUGGCCAGCCAUAAGGCCUAGAACACUAAUCCCUCUAAGUGGUGACCUUACAGACUUCUGAUGUGACUUGUGGCUGGCUGACAGCUGUGCAUGAGAGCAAAACCUCUGCUCUCCCCCUCAAGCACUCCCUAGGAAACCUCCAGCAGCAGGAUGGGUGAGACAAAUGCUCUGUCUCGUAGAAUGGCUUGGGUUGGAAGGGACCUUAAAGAUCACUGAGCUCCAGCUCCCUGCUGUGGCCAGGGUUGCCAACCGCUAGAUCAAGCACCUCGGCUACCUCAUAAGUCUUGGUAAUACAGCUCAGAAAUGGCACUAAUCCCAGCAAGAGAUACACAGUACAAGUAACACUGGUAGCUGUGCGCAGUGAGAUGAACAGCACUGAUCAAAGGCCAUGAGAUAAUGACUGAUAGAGCUGUGCCGCCCUUUUACAGCCAGGAGGAGGGUAACUAUUUAAACUGUUCUCAAGAAGUGAACUUCAGUCCGUAAGGGAAAAUCUUCAAUAAAGUCUUAUAAAAUAAAUCAUCUGUUUAAAGUUUCACACUGCCAUGAAUGAAAGUCUGAAGUCAAUAGCAGAUCUAUUGUUAGAAAGUACUCUACUUUAUAUGCCAUGACAUUUCCUUAUGAUGGUAUACCAGACAACCAUCUUCAAGAAGUCUAUGAGAGCAGAACAUGAGAGCAGUUUAGCUUCUAGUGGAACAUGUCUGAGGCACACUGCUCUAAGAAAAUGCACGUUCACAAGAUGACAUUUUGAAUGUUUGCGUAACCCAUUCACACAGAAGGAGCAUUCAGUAGGAACGUUGUGGCAGGGCUGCUCAGGGUACAAAUCUCAUUUCAGUGCUUCCUUUUGGGACCAGCCCAGUUCUGUUAUGCUCCCCACCUGCCACUGCUGUAUCCAAGCACGGGAGAAGCAGCUCCGGGCUGAGGCUUGGCUCACUGGUAAAGGACAAAAGGCACAUCCCAGCCUGGAUAGUCCUCCCAGUCAAGACACAGUUCCCAAGACAGAAGUGCCUUUACAAGAGAGAUGAAGGAAUGUUUUGGAGUUCUUGCAGAUUUUCAUCCCAGAACCAAAAAGCAAGAAGCUGGAAGUGCAGGAAAAGAGCAUGGAAGGAGAUUGACAUCUGUUUUCCCUUCACCGCCCUAAAGCAGCUCAGCAUCUGUUCCUGAGCAGCUGAGGAACCUCUGCUGUGGAGGCAAGAACCUUGGAGAGAAGGGCAGGGCACAUUUCCUGACUAAAGUCAAAGGCACAAGGUGCUGGCCAACACUGAGAUGCCAAACUGGAGGCUGGUGCACCCACCAGAUCUCUAGGAUGUCUCUCGGAGAUUGUGCAGAUCCGAGCAGCAGCACAAAGCAUCGUGAAGUCAAAUGUAACAUUAAAAAUGCAUUCAGCAUGGUAAGUCAGCGUAUCCUUCUACCUAGAUUCCUUUGAAAAUCAGAGCUCAUCUGGGACAAGUAUGACUCCAUGUAUGUGAGUAUAUAGCGAACACUGUUGAACUUGUUGGAGACCUUUAACGUUAUCAAAAUACAACUAAUAGUAAUUAAUAUUUACUUGUCAUAUAGCCUCUCCAAUGAAGAACUAAAAUCAAAAUUAUAACCCUUCUGGGAAUAUGCCAAAGCUGAAGGAAAAGCUAGAAGCACACUAUUCUGUAAUCAGGUCAACUUACCUCAUAGCACUUGCUGUAAAAAUAUGAAUUACAUUAUGUUCCUUUGGCAUUUCUGUGGUUGCCAAUUAUAUUCAAACAUUGUAAAGAGCCUUGCAAACAAUUUGGAUGGAUUCAUGGCUUGCAGUAAGAAUGGCUGUACCCACAGAGCAAGCCUGUGCCAUAGCAAACUUCUCUGCGUUGGUCCUGGCUGCAUCCCAGCAGUACCACAAGGCAAGGCCUGGGGGUCACCAACUCCUGCCUGAGGGAAGCCCACAAAGCAAAUAGAAAGGGAAAUACUGCAGAGCACAGCCCAUCAGCAGUGGGUGACAUGCAGCUGCAAGCACUUAGUCCCUCAGGAGCAGGAUUAACCAAAUCAGUGGUUCUUGGGACAAUGAUGAUGGACUUUGGGUUUAGUAGGGAAAGUGCUGGUGACAGGUAUAAUGGAAUCAUAGUUUAAAUAUAGGAGAACUACAUGCUUUUCUCUUUUUCCUUUUUUUUUUUUUUUUUUUUAAUACAUCGGUAUGUAAAUGGAAAGUCUGGAGUGCUGUUAUAGUUUAAUUUUUAAAUGGCUGAAGAUCCCAAAACUUUUUAUUUCUUCAGCUGCUUCAUAUACACAUUUGCACACACAACUUUGGAUGCUUGGUAUCUUUGAAAUUCAGGUCAUAUCCACUUGAUAGGCAUGUUUGGGCCUAAUUUUUACUUAUCUUUUAAAAAAUAAAUUUUGGUAAUAGUCUUCAGAAGUAGGAAAAUAGUGAGAAAUUUCUACUGUCAUGCAUGUUCUCACUUUACAGCCAAUCUGAAGUCUACAUGUUCAAAUAAAUCAGUGCUCAAGGACAUUGCUGUCUUCUUCAGGCUUAGGGAGUUAUGCCCAGGCCCAGGAGGUGUGUUUAGGUGCCUAAUGACCAGUGUAUUCCAUAGAUGUUUAAAUAUUAUCACUUAACCAGGACCUGCAUCCAUCUCUGGGCAGAAACAGACAGGAAAUUUUUAUAUCUAUCUAUCUAUCUAUUUUUAUAUCUAUUGAGGUAGACAAAAACUUCUACUUGGGACCCUUCUCAGCACUGCUGCAAGGUACAGGGUGGGGUGGAUAGGACGAAAGGGCACCCAACAUCAGCUGGGAUUGCCUCCCACAGCCAAACAGGGCCACAGCUCUCAGGCUGCUCAGGACAUGCACAGAACAAAACCUGCAGCAGCAUGUGCCCAGGAGAGCUCUGCUGUUUCCAAACACGCUGCAACAGCUGCAGAUGCCGCCCAGACACAGCACAGUGCCCAUCUUGCUCCCUUACCACAUGGUACGGACCCUGCUGCUUCUUGAAACUGCCCACGUGCUUGUACAAACCUGUACUUUGCAAAUGCUCACACACGGUGCAUGCAUGAAUUAUUCCCAGGUAUCUGUAAAAUUUAGUUUUGAAAACUGUAAAAUAAUGGCCUGACAACAAGCUGGUCAUAUUUUCCAUGGUUCAUUUACCUCAAACAAACUGAAGGAUCAGCAAAUGUUUUGUAUUAACUUAUUGUUGAGCCAUCCUUGAUUAAGAAAUCGGUUCUUCCUGAAACUUUAUCUGGGAGUGGUCAGGUCUCCACACAGCAUUUCUGCUGCUUUCCUGAGCAAUGGAAGGACCAACACCAGCAAAGAUGGACAACACUUGAGUACUGCCAUCUGUGAUACAAUCAACAGAGCCCCACAGCACUGUUGUUUGGAUCAUUUGGUGCCCAGUUCUGCUCCCACCGAGUUCACAAGAGUUUGUGAUGGGGCAUGUUCAGGCUUCCAGUGUAUUAGUAAUAAUGCUAAUGAUAUUGUAUGUUUUGCCUGCAUUACAGUCUGGUGCUUAGAAAAUAAACAUCUCGGCUUUGCCUCAGUGUUUAUCUCCAAUAAAUACCUCAGCUUUGCCUCAACAAUUAUCUCUUCACAGCAGACCAUUAUCCAGCAGCAACAUAUAAUUCCAUUAACAUUACCGUUUAAAAUAUAUCCUCUCCGUGCUGCAGGGAAAGGAGCUGUGUGUGGGAAAUGUCAGGGGCCCAUGCAUUUUUGGAAUUAAAAUUAAAUCAGUUGGGCUGUGUUUUAAUCCUCCUAGUUUUUGUUUUUCUAUUUCUUGUUUUGCAAAAUACGUGUUCUCUGUAGCUUAUGAGAAGAUUGCAAAUGGAGAAACUUGGAAGGUGCCCAGGGAAAGCAUAUUUCAGGGCAAUCGUGUGCCAAGGACUACUGCAGGGGAUAACUGAUAAAGGUCCAGCAUAUCGCCUGAACCUGCUUUGAACUGACAGUAGGACUUAGGAGCAGGUAGAUGUUGGGCUUUUUUGUAACUCUGAAGGAAGAGCUAUGAGAACC
ensembl:lncRNA